GGGGGAUGAAGGGAGAACGUCUGACGGAGCAACGCCGCGUGAGUGAUGAAGGUUUUCGGAUCGUAAAACUCUGUUGUUAGGGAAGAACAAGUGCUAGAUGACUGCUUGCACCUUGACGGUACCUUACCAAAAAGCCACGGCUAACUACGUGCCAGCAGCCGCGGUAAUACGUAAGUGGCAAGCGUUGUCCGGAAUUAUUGGGCGUAAAGGGCUCGCAGGCGGUUUUUUAAGUCUGAUGUGAAAGCCCCCGGCUCAACCGGGGAGGGUCAUUGGAAACUGGGGAACUUGAGUGCAAAAAAAGAAAGUGGAAUUCCCAGUGUAACGGUGAAAUGCGUAAAAAUUUGGAGGAACACCAGUGGCGAAGGCGACUUUCUGGUCUGUAACUGACGCUGAAGAGCGAAAGCGUGGGGAGCGAACAGGAUUAAAUACCCUGGUAAUCCACGCCGUAAACGAUGAAUGCUAAGUGUUAAGGGGUUUCCCCCCCUUAAUGCUGCAGCUAACGCAUUAAGCACUCCCCCUGGGGAGUACGGUCCCAAGACUGAAACUCAAAGAAAUUGACGGG
rnacentral:rRNA from 1 species